CAGCAGCCGCGGGAAUACAGAGGGUGCAAGCGUUAAUCGGAAUUACUGGGCGUAAAGCGCGCGUAGGUGGUUUGUUAAGUUGGAUGUGAAAUCCCCGGGCUCAACCUGGGAACUGCAUCCAAAACUGGCAGGCUAGAGUACGGUAGAGGGUAGUGGAAUUUCCUGUGUAGCGGUGAAAUGCGUAGAUAUAGGAAGGAACACCAGUGGCGAAGGCGACUACCUGGACUGAUACUGACACUGAGGUGCGAAAGCGUGGGGAGCAAACAGGAUUAGAUACCCCCGUAGUCCCUGUCUCUUAUAC
rnacentral:rRNA from 1 species